GUGAGAUUGUAGCAGCAUACAAUGUAGAAAGAGGGUGAGAGAAGAACACAUAGAAAGCUUUAGCUUUGGGGUGGGUUUUCUCAUUAAGAACAAUGGUGUGAUACAGAGUAUUUGUGUAUUAGCAAGUAGGUGAUUUCACAUUGUAAUAUCUCUUGUAUCUUUGUUCAUUUCUAGUGGAUUCCGAGACAAGGUCUCGGCGAGAUGUAGCAACAAAAGCUUUCUCUCUUUAACAAGUCCGUUUUGCAUCAAACUACUUCAGUCUUGGUUGUCACAGGUUCAAGCUCUUAAAGUUACAGUCUUUUGAGCCUCUGAAUUCUCUACAGUAAUUGUGAUUUUAAACGUCACCUUUGGCGUUGUUACAGUUGCUUCGAGUGAAAAAUGUCAUUUCUUAUAUGAUAUCUUUGGACUGUGGAAAUUUUGAGAUUAUAUUAAAGAAUGCGUAGACAUGAACUGUAUGACAAAUGAUAUCUUCUAUUAACAAUAGACUUUUUUGUUCUUAUUUUCUUGCAUUUAUUUUGAAUGUAAGCCUUCUUCUUGGCAUGAUACAAUGCUCCUUCACGGUUUUUAAAGUCACCUUCUUAACCGUG